UGUGGUGCCGCGUCCCUGUCCCUUUCCCCUCGGGCCGUGGCAGCACGAUGCUCGCUGCUCUGUGCCUUUGUGGUGUGACAGGCCUGGAGUAAACACGUGUUCUACUUGUGCUCACCACAGCAGACAAGUUUAUUUUCUGCAACAGUUGAAGUGCAGAAGAAUAAGAAACUCCUGAGUCGUAACACACUUUGUUCAUCAAGCAACAAAGGAUAUCUCAUCCUGACAUCCAGCCUCUUUCCCAACCAGGAUCAUUGGGAAGCUGCUCUGGACCUGCCUCAGUCCAACCCUCUGAUAGCCACAUGCGCUACACAAUUCUUUCUGCUGGAGAGGCCCACAUGAAACCAUGCAGACAGACAAAUGGCAUCCCAGUUUCUCCUCAGCAACUGCUUCCUGGUUAACUCUAACCCUCAGGAAGCUGAUUGAUCUGAAUAUUAAAACCCGUCAGAACUUCCUAGUCUGUCUCAUACAGAAGAAAAACCUCUGUCUGGGAAAAGAUGCCAAAGUUGUUACCAUUACUUCUGAUUGUUUUCCAUGUCAUGUAUUUUUGUAUUUUCUGCUAUGUUGUAACAAGUUCUUUUCAAACAUGUGGACUGAUAAAGAAAUCACUGAUCAAUAACCCCAGUGAUAGUAAGUUUCCACACAAGGAUAUUGAAGAAAUGAAUUAAAAUUGAUGCCUACAAUUUCUGUUAAAAUUUCAUUUCUGAAAAAAAGAAGUAUUUGUAACUAGAUAAAUGUCUAGAUAAAUUUUGUUUGAUCAAAAGAUGCCUAUGGCAUAUUUCUAUACAAGUUGUAUUAUUUCUAAAAGUACCUUGAUGUUUGACUGAAGCACUGUGCCAGCUUCAGUGACGUUUCUGUUGUAUCUGUGCCUCUGUACUUAAUGUUGGAACAUUAAGAACACAAAACAUUAAAAUAUAAUGAUUUAA